rnacentral:misc_RNA from 1 species
GUAUGUUUCAUAUAUGUAUAUCCCAAAUGUAUUAAUCAAGUGUGUGUAGAAGAGAGAAAAAUCAUAGCUCAGACAGAGAGCUACAGUAUGUGCACAAAGGUGUAAAUAUAUGGGAAGAAAGAAGAAGAAGAUAAAGUGGAGUGUGUGCACAUGCAUAAGCCAGCAACAACUACUACACCUCAAUCCCCUCCCUCUCUCAUAUAUAUUUCAUUAAUGAUCCUUCCGCAGGUUCACCUACGGAAA